rnacentral:piRNA from 1 species
GUAUUGGUCAGGUGCUGGCAAAGCCUCUC